AUUGAACGCUGGCGGCAUGCUUUACACAUGCAAGUCGAACGGUAACAGGCCUUCGGGUGCUGACGAGUGGCGAACGGGUGAGUAAUGCAUCGGAACGUGCCCAAUCGUGGGGGAUAACGUAGCGAAAGUUACGCUAAUACCGCAUAAGCCCUGAGGGGGAAAGCAGGGGAUCGCAAGACCUUGCGCGAAUGGAGCGGCCGAUGUCAGAUUAGCUAGUUGGUGGGGUAAAGGCCUACCAAGGCGACGAUCUGUAGCGGGUCUGAGAGGAUGAUCCGCCACACUGGGACUGAGACACGGCCCAGACUCCUACGGGAGGCAGCAGUGGGGAAUUUUGGACAAUGGGCGCAAGCCUGAUCCAGCCAUGCCGCGUGCGGGACGAAGGCCUUCGGGUUGUAAACCGCUUUCAGCCGGAAACGAAAUACGCCAAGGCUAAUAUACCUUGGUGGAUGACGGUACCGGAAGAAGAAGCACCGGCUAACUACGUGCCAGCAGCCGCGGU
rnacentral:rRNA from 1 species